AAACUUUAAUUAAAUCCUAAUGAAAUCCUAAUGAAAUCCUAAAUAAAUCCUAAAUAAAUUCUAAACAAACCUUAAAUCAAAUCCUAAUCAAACCUUUAACAAAUCCUGGUCAAAUCUUAAAUAAAUUUUAUUCAAAUCCUAAAUAAAUUCUAGUCAAAUCUUAAACAAAUUCUAAAUAAAUCCUAACCAAAUCCUAAAUAAAUCCUAAGCAAAUCCUAAAUAAAUCCUAAUCAAAUCCUAAUCAAAUCCUAACCAAAACCUAAAAAAAUCCUAAAAAAAUCCUAAACAAAUUCUUAACAAAACUUAACCAAAUCCUAGUCAAAUCUUAAACAAAUUCUAAAAAAAUCUUAACCAAAUCCUAUACAAAUCCUAAAAAAACCUUAAUCAAAUUUUAAAAAAAUCUAAACAAAUAUUAACUAAAUCCUAGUCAAACCUUAAAUAAAUCUUGACCAAAUUCUAAGCAAAUCCUAAAAAAUCCUAACCAAAUCCAAACCAAACUCUAA
rnacentral:lncRNA from 1 species